CGCCAGCCUGACGGAGCCAGACCGCGUGGGGGAGGAAGGCCCUUGGAUUGUAAACCCCUUUUCUCAGGGAAGAAGUUCUGACGGUACCUGAGGAAUCAGCCUCGGCUAACUCCGUGCCAGCAGCCGCGGUAAUACGGAGGAGGCAAGCGUUAUCCGGAAUCAUUGGGCGUAAAGCGUUCGUAGGCGGCUGUUCAAGUCUGCUGUCAAAGACCGAGGCUCAACCUCGGGUCGGCAGUGGAAACUGGAUAGCUAGAGGUCGGUAGGGGCAAAGGGAAUUCCCGGUGUAGCGGUGAAAUGCGUAGAUAUCGGGAAGAACACCAGAGGCGAAAGCGUUCUGCUGGGCCGCGCCUGACCCUGAGGGACGAAAGCCAGGGGAGCG
rnacentral:rRNA from 1 species